UACGUAGGGGGCGAGCGUUGUCCGGAUUUAUUGGGCGUAAAGAGCUCGUAGGCGGUUUGGUAAGUUGGAUGUGAAAUCUCCAGGCUCAACUUGGAGGGGUCAUUCGAUACUGCCAUGACUAGAGUUCGGUAGGGGAGUGUGGAAUUCCUGGUGGAGCGGUGAAAUGCGCAGAUAUCAGGAGGAACACCGGUGGCGAAGGCGGAUCUCUGGGCCGAUACUGACGCUGAGGAGCGAAAGCGUGGGGAGCAAACAGG
rnacentral:rRNA from 1 species